AGUGGCUGGGAGGUGGUGAUGGAGUUUGGGGGUGUUUAUGGGGGACCGCCUGGGGGACAGGGCUAUGAAUUGGCCCUUUCCCAGGGCCUCAGAGGGUCAUAUGGGGCCGUGGAGGGCCGUGGAUCAUGUGGCCCUGGCAGUUGUUGGAAGUGUGAAAGAAUGCGGAAGCAAGUCAGAGAGAGGCAAGAACAUGGCGGAAAGACAAAAAGUCAGAGAUGAUUUCAUUUUUAUCAGUGAUUGAGGCAACCAAGGGAUGGACAAGCUUCCUGGGUGUUGGUAGCCGCUGCAGGGCUCCUCCAGACCUGGGGAUGUUUGCUGAAUUCAUAAAGCACAUUGUUGAAAACUGGAUGUUUGCUGAAGUAUUUGGAGGCUGAGUGAGAACAUGGCUGGACUCCUCAUCUGUCAUUUUGCUAACAGUGACAUACUUUAACACUGUUAAAGUGUUUUAAGAUGCUUUGGAUUACAACCUCUACCAUCCCUAGAGUAAUGAAGAUUUUAUUCCAACUCAACUGGAGAGCACAACUCUCGCUGCAGCUUGCACAGCAGGUUAAAACCACCAGCUAUAGAAGACCUGCCGACUGGAAGGUUGGCAGUUCAAGUCACGGGCUGGGUGAGCUCCUGCCAUCAUCUUAGCUUCUGCCUACCUAGCAGUUCAAAAACAGUAAUGUGAGUAGAUAAAUAGGUACCUCUGCUUUGGCGUGGAGGUAAAAGGUGGCCUCGAAAAAACAUGUUGGUGGAAGGCAUCCAUGGACAACAAGCUCCUCGGCAUGGAAGAAUGGAACAAUAGCAUUUCCCCAUGGCCGUGUCAAACACAGCCUCCAGAUGCCAGGAAAAAGAGGGAAGCCUUGCCUCUGUUUAUGUUACUGUCUGUCUUUGUCAAUUGUAUAAUGGCAUUGAAUGUUUGCCAUAUAUGUACAUGUAAUCCGCCCUGAGUCCCCUCGGGGAGAUAGGACAGAAUAUAAAUAAAGUAUGUUAUAAUAAUAAUAAUAAUAAUAAUAAUAAUAAUAAUAAUAAUAAUAAUAAUAAUAAUAUUGAUAGACUUUCCACAUGAUACAGCAAGCAUAACAGUGAAAUAUUCACACAUAACAGUAAAAUAUUGGUAGCUCUAUUUCUAAAAUUCCAGCAACAGGUCUGCUUUCCUUUAAACAGUUCAUGCUUGUCCCUUAUCACAUUACACUGUUAUAUUACUAUAUUUGUUCCACUCUAAAUGCCAUAACAACAUUCUGUGGAAUUCUGGGGUUUGUAAAUGAGUUGAAGCCCAAGAACUCUCUGGUUGAGAGUUGGAAAUACUCUCUAAACUGCAAAUCCCAGGAUUCCAUAAAAUGUUGCUAUAGUAGUUCAAGUGGAAUAUAAUGCUAUACGAGUGUCGCAUGAUAAGGUCUGCAGGUGUACCUAUUUCUGUUUCAUCGUCUGUGCUACUUUUAUGCUAGUUCUUUCGUUUUCUUCUAUUCAUUCCAUAUUAUAGGAAGUUAAUAAAAAUAAAAGCUGAGAGGACAAUCAUGCCUAAAGGGAUGCCAAUAAUUCCUGUGCUGGUAUUCACUGAACUGAUUCUUUAUGCAGAUGUUUCGUUGCUUCGUUCUGACCCUUUGACAUUCAGAUUUGCACAUUCCAGUUUUUACAGAACAUGGCACGCAAGAAGAAAUGCAAUGGAGCAUAUCCAAGCAUACAACAGCCUAUGUGAAUGUUACUUUUUUGGACAAUAACUCCAAUAAUCUCCUUGCCAGAUUGGCUGCUGGAUGCAAUUUACCAACUGGUCCAAUUGGUAAAGCCAUUGUUCCUUUUGCACACCCCACUUGAUUCUUAUUUAGCAGGCUGAGAACCAACUACCUCCAUCUCAAGAGCCAAGUUAGUUUCUAAUUCUGAACUAAUAACCUUUCCUGCAGAUACUUUCGACAGAGCCUCCCAUCAGCAAUGACCAUUGUUCAUAUUAGUUGGGGCUGAUAGUGGUUGUAGUCCAGACACCACUAUAAGUGAUAGGGCAGUCAUACUGAAGCCCCUUUUACACUGCCACGUAAAAUCCAGAUUAUCUGCUUUGAACUGGAUUAAAUGGCAGUGUAAAAGGGGACUGGCUUAAGGUUUGGGAGUUUGGUCCAACCUCAGUUCAGCACCUGAUGGAUAAUUCUAAUUUAAAUUUCCCUUUGAAUUGGGCCACACACACCAUAAAGAGCAAAAUUAGUUCAAUGAGUGUAAACUACUUUUGAACUUUGAACACAGCUUGAAACAAUUAAAGUAAACUGAGAACUAAGGGAGAAAACUCAGUGGAGGAGAGAGAAACCAGAAUAUUAUAAAAGCAACUCAAAAUUGGGGACAGCAGAGGAUUAAUCUGCUAAAUUGGAACAGUUCGAAGGUAUGAAAGGGUGACCAUCAGAAUCAUCAAUGUACACUUACAACGGAACUUAAUAAAUCCAAUGAAUCCACUGUAUCUGGCAGAAAUGGGUCAAAGUGUGGCUAUUUUGUGAACGGCUGGGCAGAUCAAGGAGAAACAUCUGGCCUUCUGGCUGGCCUUGUACAGCUGCCAAAACAAGCUUAGCAUAAACGUGGUGCCCUCAUUCCUCAGUAAGAUUGCACUGAUUGAUUGCAAUCCAAUCCAUAUUGUGACAACCUGAAAUGCUCCCACUACUUCCACAGGUACGGGUGCUGGAAACACUGGAAAGCCUCCCCCCCCCUUUUUUUUUUUUCCUUGGUGACUGCCCCUAGGUUCUGGAAUUCCCUUCCAUGGCAGAAGAGACCCUUUUAAUUAUUUUAGAGGCUUUUAGAACUGAAGGGUUUUAAGGGAAGCUUUUUAGGGACAUAUUUUGUUUUAAAUAGGGCAGCGUUAAAAACUGCUUUUAUAUCCUUUGUAAGUGUUUCAGCAUGAUUAAUGAUUUGAUUCUAGUUUAACGUUGUCUUUUUGUAUGUUUUGAUCAAUACUAUCAAUCACUUUAAUUUAUCAACUGCCUUGAGUCUUUGUGGAAAAGAUGAAGUAGAAAUAAGUACAAUGACAAUACUAACACUUUGGCCUGGAAGCAAGUUCUGUUGACGAAAGUGGAGAAAAUCUGCAUAGUCAUAUUUAAUACUGCAAUGUAAUAACCCUGAAUCCAGGGAGAGGGCAGGUGCUAGGAUUUUCCUUCUCAUUUUGCCCAAAUGUAUAAAUGGAAAGAGAAGAUUUAAACAUGUAACUGACAAGGGUUGUGAUUAACUAAAGUCGUACUGUCGAAGGCUUUCAUGGCUGGAAUCACUGGGUUGCUGUGAGUUUUCUGGGCUGUAUGGCCAUGUUCCAUGUUCCAGAAGCAUUCUCUCCUUAUGUUUCACCCACAUCUAUGGCGAAAAAAAUUUCGGGCGGGGUUUUGAAAAUUUCGGGGGGUGGGGAGUUGACCCCCUGACCCACCCGCGCCGCGGGUUCAGACCUGUCAAUAUCUGCUUGAGAUAUCUGCUUGGUUAACCAGUUAA